GAAGAGUAUUUUGUGUUGGCCCUGCCUCCGCCGAAACAUUUCUAUUUCUUUGCUCUUUCCCCCCUCCAAGGGGACAGUGCUCCGGAGCCCGUCCCCGCGUCCCGACUGUAAAUUCCAGAGUCUGUUUGAGAGUCGGCGUUUGUGACUGGAGGCGAGCGCGUUGUUAAACUGAGAAUGGGAUUAGUGAGAAGUGACUGGAGGGCUCAGGACUGGACGCUGGGGAACAGGGACUGAAGGGAGACGCAGGACUCUGAUGGGGUGGCGGGGGAGGUUCGAGGCUGGAGUCUGGGGAUUAGAGACUUGAGAUUUGGGGAUUCGGAGCUGGAGAGGUGAGGCUGGGUGCGCUGAUGCUGGAGUCUGAGAGUUGGCUGCUGGACUCGCUAAGGUCCUUGCUGUUAAUAGUCUCGGCUCCUCGGUAAUCGCGUCGAAACAGAACAGCCGGUUGAACUUGAACGUUCCCACGGACUCCGGAGACCAAAGGAGCCGAUCCGCGCUGGAUUGCAAGGGAACACCAUGGAACAAAUGCUACAGACCAUCCUCUUCCUGUCUGCCGUAGAAUCUGCUUUCACCAGACAACCCAGUCAACCUACCAUCAAUGUUGCUGUUGUACUCGGAGGAUCUUGGUACCACAUGGAAAUCAGGGGCAGCUUUAAUCAAGAGACCUUCCAGGACCUGCCUGUACAAAUCAACACCGUCACAGUAGUAGUUAACAAUACCAAUCCCAGCAGCCUGAUCACUCACAUCUGUGAUGUGCUGGCCAAAUCCAGGAUCCAUGCUGUUAUUUUUGAGGAUGAUAUUGAAUCUGAGGCUGUGGCACAAAUUCUGGAUUUUACCUCUGCAGAAGUGUCAGCUCCAAUCAUAGGGAUGAGUGGAGGCUCUACUGUUGUGCUCACUCCAAAGGAGCAGCAUUCUGGAUUUCUACAGUUGGGUGCUUCAAUGGAACAGCAGAUCAGGGUCAUUUUCAAAGUAAUGGAAGAGUAUGAUUGGGGGAGCUUUACCAUCAUUACCAGUUAUUUCCCUGGAUAUCAGGAAUUCAUCACCCACAUUCAGCUUUUUAUUGAAACCAGCUAUUAUGGGUGGGAAAUUGAACAGACUCUUACUCUUGAAAUGACAAAAGAUGAGGACAAUUUCAAAACAAAGAGACUUCUGCAGCAGAUUGAUGCACAGGUUCUGAUUCUAUAUUGCUCAAGAGAGGAGGCAGAAAAUCUGUUUGAAUUGGCUGAACAAGUUAAUCUCCUUGGCCCAGGCUAUAUCUGGAUACUGUCCAGUAUCGCAAUAGGCAGCAUGGAACGAGUGGCGAAACAAUUUCCAGUCGGAUUAAUCAGCGUCAUGACAGAGAGAUGGAAGAUGAGCUUACAGCAGCGGGUGAGGGAUGGAGUGGCAAUCAUCGCAAAAGGUGCAGAAAGUUUUUAUAAAACAUACGGAUACAUGCCGGGACCAAGUGCUGACUGUCGGCAUCCAGCUCGAGGGGCCACAAGGAAUAUACUGUACAGGCACAUGUUGAACAUUAGCUGGGAAGGUAAAGACUUCUCUUUCAAUGAGGAUGGCUAUUUGGUGAGACCAUCGAUGGCUGUGGUCACACUGAACCGAAGCAGAUUUUGGGAAAUGGUUGGAAGAUGGGAAAAUGGCUUGAUAAGAAUGAAAUAUCCAGUGUGGCCAAGAUAUGGAAAAUUCCAGCAACCUGUAACUGACAGUGCCCAUUUAACUGUUGCCACAUUGGAGGAGAGGCCAUUUGUGAUUGUGGAAGAAGCAGAUCCUGAAAAUGGAGCGUGUGUACGGAAUACUGUCCCCUGCAGGAAGCAAGCAAACCUGAGUGAAAGCAUUGCAGAGACGUACACCAAGCUGUGCUGUAAAGGAUUUUGCAUCGACAUCCUGAAGAAACUCGCAAAAACUGUCAAAUUUUCCUAUGACCUUUACCUCGUGACCAAUGGGAAACACGGCAAGAAAGUUCGGGGAACCUGGAACGGAAUGAUUGGAGAGGUUUUCUACCAGAGAGCAGACAUGGCCAUCGGAUCUCUCACCAUCAAUGAAGAGCGCUCGGAGAUUGUGAGUUUUUCUGUCCCCUUUGUGGAAACAGGAAUCAGUGUGAUGGUGGCCAGGAGCAAUGGUACUGUCUCCCCAUCAGCUUUUCUUGAACCUUACAGCCCCGCAGUGUGGAUGAUGAUGUUUGUGAUGUGUCUGACGGUGGUUGCUCUCACAGUCUGUCUAUUUGAGUACUUCAGUCCCGUUGGAUACAACAGAAACCUCAUGAAUGGCAAAAUUACAGGAGGGCCAACAUUUACCAUUGGGAAAUCAGUGUGGCUCCUCUGGGCACUUGUCUUCAACAAUUCUGUCCCCAUCGAAAAUCCUAAAGGAACAACAAGCAAAAUCAUGGUCUUAAUCUGGGCUUUUUUUGCUGUCAUCUUCCUGGCAAGUUAUACAGCAAACCUGGCAGCAUUUAUGAUUCAAGAGCAGUUCAUUGACACUGUCUCUGGUCUCAGUGACAAAAAGUUUCAGAAGCCACAGGAUCACUAUCCGCCGUUUCGAUUUGGUACGGUUCCCAAUGGCAGCACAGAGCGGAAUAUCAAGAACAAUUACCCAGACAUGCAUACUCACAUGACUAAAUAUAAUCAACGCUCUGUGGCAGAUGCUCUUGACAGUUUAAAAUCAGGGAAGCUUGAUGCCUUUAUUUAUGAUGCAGCUGUUCUUAAUUAUAUGGCUGGGAAGGAUGAGGGCUGUAAACUCGUUACCAUCGGAAGUGGCAAAGUAUUUGCAACGACUGGUUACGGAAUUGCUUUGCAGAAAAACUCCAAAUGGAAGAGAGCCAUUGACCUGGCCCUCUUACAGUUCCUGGGCGAUGGAGAGACACAUAAGCUGCACACUGUGUGGUUGACAGGAAUCUGUCAGAAUGAGAAGAAUGAGGCAAUGAGCAGCAAAUUGGACAUUGAUAAUAUGGCUGGUGUCUUCUACAUGCUCCUGGUGGCUAUGGGCCUCAGUCUGCUGGUCUUCGCUUGGGAACACUUGGUUUAUUGGAAGCUGAGACAUCAUGUGAAGAAAUCCAGCAAGACAGAUUUUCUUCUGGCAAUCAGCAGGGGAAUCUACAGUUGUUUCAGUGGUGUACAGGAAGUCUCCAGCCCACUCCAUGUGGCCUCUCCCAUUGUCUCCUCGAGCUUUUCUCAGGCCAAUAUGAAGAUGAUGUUGCAGGCGGCCAAAGAUUUAGUCUCAUCCACAAACGUGGAAAGUUCUUUGGAGAACGCAACAAAAACAAUAGAACAUUGGACACGUGCAGGUGAAAACCUCACAAACAGACUUCCUAAAGCACCAUCACAGCAGAUUGAAGGGUCAGAGGCCAUGGAUAGCCAACUUUCAGUUCCCUAUAUUUCUAACAGACACCAACUUUGCUACCUUCCAGCAACAUUAUCUCCAUCUCUGGCUUCUGAACGCGAGACAAGAUGGUCAGGUCGACCAAUAAUUAAAUAUAAGAACAGACUAGAAAGCAAAUAUGUAGCUUCAAAACCUUUUACUGAGAUUCACAACCCUCAUUCCAUGACAUCAAAUGAGUUCCCUAAGCACUCCCAACAUACCAGGGGAACUGAUAUGAGAAAAGACUUGGAAUCCCCGUAUAUUCCAUUUAUCAGCAAUAAUGAAUUACAUCACCAGGAUAUUUAUAACAGAAAAUAUUUCACAAGACGACUAUCGUUACCUUGUAGGAAAUUGGCCAGUUGCUCUGCAGGGCAUGUUGCUUCUCAGAGUGGGACAAAGACAGUGCCUGCAGUGAAAUCUUGUAUUGGAUUGAAUGAGAAAUGGCCUGUGCGAAACUUGCACCAUCCAGUGUCAUAUCCCAACCAGACCAAUUGUAGUUCAUGUAUGAGACUUUAUUCUGGGUCACAGUCAGAAGAACUACCCUCACUGACCAGACGAUCUUCAUAUAUUAAAGCAACAAAGGAACCAGAGGAAACCUCUAGGUUUCAAGGCAGAACAGUAAACUUUGAAAAGCUGGGACGGCGUGGAGAAAUUACUGAUCUGUUCUCCAGCCUGAACAAUGAAUUUCUGGAACCAAGAAGGGACACUGCCAAGCAUUCCUCAGAUCGGAGAGAAGCAAUCCUGGGUCAUGACAAGAAGUUCUUGUAUUCCAGCUCACCAAGUAGACCCAGGUAUUCUCCACCUGCCAGACUUCCCUCAUACAGAGAGGCCUGCCUGCAAAACUCAGCUGCUCUGAGACAUGCCUCCACAGAACUACACCAACAGUCGUGGUCACAUUCCUGUCCUAGUCCCUCCAUGUACGUCUGGCAUCGCCGUGUGGGCUCCCAGCAUUUCAAUUGGUUGAUUGGAUCAGGACACCAAUCCUGUGACAGAGACAUUGUGAUGAAGUACUUAGAAAAAAGGACUCCAUACCAUGACAAUCCUGCGAGGGAGCCCACGGCUGGAAGGAGCAGAAUGGUCGACCAUAGGGUGACAGCUAGAGGAUGCGAGGAGCUGGAGGCUGGAAGAGCAGGAGUCAGUUGCACUCAUUUGAGAAAAUCGUGUGCAAGGUUUUCCAGCCUUGAAUCUGAGGUAUAGAUUCAGUAAAAUUUAAAGAAUUAAACUCCAGGAGUGAAAACCUUCCUUUCAUUCAGUGAUCCCCUUCUUCGUUCAAUUACUUUGAGUGUUUUCCAACUUCUCCCUCUCUCUCUCUGAUUAAAACACACCUUGAUUAUUUUAUUUAGCCAACUGGGUUGAAAGGACUUUUCUUCCCAAUCUAACUCUUCCAGUCCCUAAUACCUGAGCUAUUCACCAUAAUGCUACAUGGGAAAAAGAUGUCAUGACAAUCAAGCAGGUCUCAGGAAACCACGGUGGCAGUCUGAUUCGGCACAACAUACACUGGGCUUGGACCUGCCACUGGAGGGCUUGGACUUGCCCUUGGUGGACCUGGACCUAUCCCCCAUCCCCUGGGGCCUGGACCCACACAUCCUGGGCCUGGACUUGGACCAAACUGCUGAUGACUAUUCUAAUCUAAGAAAUUCAAUUUCCUGAACAAUGACUUCUUUGUGCUGUGUUCAAGUCAGUACACGUUUAAGUACAAGAUCUAUUUAGCGUCCUGCUCACUCUAUAGUUAAUGGUACCUCUAUUCAUUCUUCAGACAUUUAAUUACAUUUACACAUCUCUGACCAUACCAAACACAUUACAAAACUAAUCUCUGUAUUAAUAUCACAAACACUCAUCAGCUUCAUAUCCAAAAUAUUACGGGAAACAAAAGCACCUACUAAAUGGGUUGUUUUCUGUCCUGUAUUGUGCAUUAUAAAACUCAGUUCCAUGCAUAAUGGGCCACGCUGAUCCACUGUGUGUAUAAGCCUAACACCAAUGGUACACCUUUGCAUCACCCCUCACCCUGCCACAGCCCUGCAGUCAAUCACAUUGACACACACACCCCUACAUAUACAGAACAAGACAGAAUUUGGUGAGGAGAGGCGGAGAGCAAGAAUGGGGAGUGAGAGAGAUAUGGAAAAAUAGGAGAGACAGAAACAACAGGAUGGGUUGGUGAGGAAAGAGGGAAGGGGAAGAUACAAUGAGGUGGGAUGGAAAGAACGAGGGGGAGAAAGGGGGAAGUGGGAGUUAAGGUGCAGAAUAGGUAGGAGGGAGAAAGUGAGAAAGAAGGUAUGAAUAGGAGACAGAGACAGAGUCUUCCUUCAGUGAACUACAUAUGUUAGUACAUGACAACACAAUCUAUGCUGUACAACUGGCCCAACUCACUAUGAUUCUAUAUCAGAAUGUCACUUUGUAUGAUGAGGCCACAUUAGUGUAUUCUGUACUGAGUGAUGACAGCCAUUGUUUACAUUAAGUGUUUUAAUUGUAGCAAUAAAAAUAAAGAGUAAGAAAUAAAGGAGGACAAUUGUUGAGCACCAGUUCCUGCUGGUAAUGUUUGCCUCGCAUGUUGAUCUUCAUUUCUUUAACUGAACCUGAAAAUUACGAACAACACACAAUCU